rnacentral:rRNA from 1 species
GAUGAACGCUGGCGGCGUGCUUAACACAUGCAAGUCGAACGGUGAACGAGGGAGCUGGCUCCCUCCGGAUCAGUGGCGAACGGGUGAGUAACACGUGAGCAAUCUGCCCUGGACUCUGGGAUAAGCGUUGGAAACGACGUCUAAUACCGGAUACGAGACGCGAAGGCAUCUUCAGCGGCUGGAAAGAACUUCGGUCCAGGAUGAGCUCGCGGCCUAUCAGGUAGUUGGUGAGGUAACGGCUCACCAAGCCUACGACGGGGAGCCGGCCGGAGGGGGUGACCGGGCACACUGGGCCUGAGAACAGGCCCAGAUUCCGACGGGGGGCAGCAGUGGGAAAUAUUGGACAAGGGGGGGAACCCUGAUCUAGCAAUGCCGCGUGUGUGAAGAAGGCCUGAGGGUUGUAAAGCACUAUCAGCGGGGAGGAGGAUUGAUUGUUUAAGAGCUGAUAAAUUGGACGUUACCCGCAGAAGAAGCACCGGCUAACUCCGU